rnacentral:rRNA from 1 species
AUUGAACGCUGGCGGCAGGCCUAACACAUGCAAGUCGAACGAGUGGCGGACGGGUGAGUAAUGUCUGGGAACCUGCCUGAUGGAGGGGGAUAACUACUGGACACGGUAGCUAAUACUGCAUACCAUCAGAUGUGCCCAGAUGGGAUUAGCUAGGUGGUGGGGUAACGGCUCACCAAGGCGACGAUCCCUAGCUGGUCUGAGAGGAUGACAAGCCACACUGGAACGGAGACACGGGCCAGACCCCUACGGGAGGCAGCAGUGGGGAAUAGUGUACAAUUGGCGCAAGCCUGAUGCAGCCAUGCCGCGUGUAGGAAGAAGGCAUGCGGGUUGGAAAGUACUUUCAGCGGGGAGGCGUUACCCGCAGAAGAAGCACCGGCUAACUCCGUGCCAGCAGCCGCGGUAAUUC